rnacentral:rRNA from 1 species
AUACAGAGGGUGCAAGCGUUGAUCGGAUUUACUGGGCGUAAAGCGCGCGUAGGUGGCUAAUUAAGUCAAAUGUGAAAUCCCCGAGCUUAACUUGGGAAUUGCAUUCGAUACUGGUUAGCUAGAGUAUGGGAGAGGAUGGUAGAAUUCCAGGUGUAGCGGUGAAAUGCGUAGAGAUCUGGAGGAAUACCGAUGGCGAAGGCAGCCAUCUGGCCUAAUACUGACACUGAGGUGCGAAAGCAUGGGGAGCAAACAGGAUUAGAUACCCUGGUAGUCCAUGCCGUAAACGAUGUCUACUAGCCGUUGGGGCCCUUGAGGCUUUAGUGGCGCAGCUAACGCGAUAAGUAGACCGCCUGGGGAGUACGGUCGCAAGACUAAAACUCAAAUGAAUUGACGGGG